rnacentral:rRNA from 1 species
GGUUAAGCGACUAAGCGUACACGGUGGAUGCCCUGGCAGUCAGAGGCGAUGAAGGACGUGCUAAUCUGCGAUAAGCGUCGGUAAGGUGAUAUGAACCGUUAUAACCGGCGAUUUCCGAAUGGGGAAACCCAGUGUGAUUCGUCACACUAUCAUUAACUGAAUCCAUAGGUUAAUGAGGCGAACCGGGGGAACUGAAACAUCUAAGUACCCCGAGGAAAAGAAAUCAACCGAGAUUCCCCCAGUAGCGGCGAGCGAACGGGGAGCAGCCCAGAGCCUGAAUCAGUGUGUGUGUUAGUGGAAGCGUCUGGAAAGGCGCGCGAUACAGGGUGACAGCCCCGUACACAAAAAUGCACAUAUUGUGAGCUCGAUGAGUAGGGCGGGACACGUGGUAUCCUGUCUGAAUAUGGGGGGCCCAUCCUCCAAGGCUAAAUACUCCUGACUGACCGAUAGUGAACCAGUACCGUGAGGGAAAGGCGAAAAGAACCCCGGCGAGGGGAGUGAAAAAGAACCUGAAACCGUGUACGUACAAGCAGUGGGAGCACGCUUAGGCGUGUGACUGCGUACCUUUUGUAUAAUGGGUCAGCGACUUAUAUUCUGUAGCAAGGUUAACCGAAUAGGGGAGCCGAAGGGAAACCGAGUCUUAACUGGGCGUUAAGUUGCAGGGUAUAGACCCGAAACCCGGUGAUCUAGCCAUGGGCAGGUUGAAGGUUGGGUAACACUAACUGGAGGACCGAACCGACUAAUGUUGAAAAAUUAGCGGAUGACUUGUGGCUGGGGGUGAAAGGCCAAUCAAACCGGGAGAUAGCUGGUUCUCCCCGAAAGCUAUUUAGGUAGCGCCUCGUGAAUUCAUCUCCGGGGGUAGAGCACUGUUUCGGCAAGGGGGUCAUCCCGACUUACCAACCCGAUGCAAACUGCGAAUACCGGAGAAUGUUAUCACGGGAGACACACGGCGGGUGCUAACGUCCGUCGUGAAGAGGGAAACAACCCAGACCGCCAGCUAAGGUCCCAAAGUCAUGGUUAAGUGGGAAACGAUGUGGGAAGGCCCAGACAGCCAGGAUGUUGGCUUAGAAGCAGCCAUCAUUUAAAGAAAGCGUAAUAGCUCACUGGUCGAGUCGGCCUGCGCGGAAGAUGUAACGGGGCUAAACCAUGCACCGAAGCUGCGGCAGCGACGCUUAUGCGUUGUUGGGUAGGGGAGCGUUCUGUAAGCCUGCGAAGGUGUGCUGUGAGGCAUGCUGGAGGUAUCAGAAGUGCGAAUGCUGACAUAAGUAACGAUAAAGCGGGUGAAAAGCCCGCUCGCCGGAAGACCAAGGGUUCCUGUCCAACGUUAAUCGGGGCAGGGUGAGUCGACCCCUAAGGCGAGGCCGAAAGGCGUAGUCGAUGGGAAACAGGUUAAUAUUCCUGUACUUGGUGUUACUGCGAAGGGGGGACGGAGAAGGCUAUGUUGGCCGGGCGACGGUUGUCCCGGUUUAAGCGUGUAGGCUGGUUUUCCAGGCAAAUCCGGAAAAUCAAGGCUGAGGCGUGAUGACGAGGCACUACGGUGCUGAAGCAACAAAUGCCCUGCUUCCAGGAAAAGCCUCUAAGCAUCAGGUAACAUCAAAUCGUACCCCAAACCGACACAGGUGGUCAGGUAGAGAAUACCAAGGCGCUUGAGAGAACUCGGGUGAAGGAACUAGGCAAAAUGGUGCCGUAACUUCGGGAGAAGGCACGCUGAUAUGUAGGUGAAGUCCCUUGCGGAUGGAGCUGAAAUCAGUCGAAGAUACCAGCUGGCUGCAACUGUUUAUUAAAAACACAGCACUGUGCAAACACGAAAGUGGACGUAUACGGUGUGACGCCUGCCCGGUGCCGGAAGGUUAAUUGAUGGGGUCAGCGCAAGCGAAGCUCUUGAUCGAAGCCCCGGUAAACGGCGGCCGUAACUAUAACGGUCCUAAGGUAGCGAAAUUCCUUGUCGGGUAAGUUCCGACCUGCACGAAUGGCGUAAUGAUGGCCAGGCUGUCUCCACCCGAGACUCAGUGAAAUUGAACUCGCUGUGAAGAUGCAGUGUACCCGCGGCAAGACGGAAAGACCCCGUGAACCUUUACUAUAGCUUGACACUGAACAUUGAGCCUUGAUGUGUAGGAUAGGUGGGAGGCUUUGAAGUGUGGACGCCAGUCUGCAUGGAGCCGGCCUUGAAAUACCACCCUUUAAUGUUUGAUGUUCUAACGUGGACCCGUGAUCCGGGUUGCGGACAGUGUCUGGUGGGUAGUUUGACUGGGGCGGUCUCCUCCUAAAGAGUAACGGAGGAGCACGAAGGUUGGCUAAUCCUGGUCGGACAUCAGGAGGUUAGUGCAAUGGCAUAAGCCAGCUUGACUGCGAGCGUGACGGCGCGAGCAGGUGCGAAAGCAGGUCAUAGUGAUCCGGUGGUUCUGAAUGGAAGGGCCAUCGCUCAACGGAUAAAAGGUACUCCGGGGAUAACAGGCUGAUACCGCCCAAGAGUUCAUAUCGACGGCGGUGUUUGGCACCUCGAUGUCGGCUCAUCACAUCCUGGGGCUGAAGUAGGUCCCAAGGGUAUGGCUGUUCGCCAUUUAAAGUGGUACGCGAGCUGGGUUUAGAACGUCGUGAGACAGUUCGGUCCCUAUCUGCCGUGGGCGCUGGAGAACUGAGGGGGGCUGCUCCUAGUACGAGAGGACCGGAGUGGACGCAUCACUGGUGUUCGGGUUGUCAUGCCAAUGGCACUGCCCGGUAGCUAAAUGCGGAAGAGAUAAGUGCUGAAAGCAUCUAAGCACGAAACUUGCCCCGAGAUGAGUUCUCCCUGACCCUUUAAGGGUCCUGAAGGAACGUUGAAGACGACGACGUUGAUAGGCCGGGUGUGUAAGCGCAGCGAUGCGUUGAGCUAACCGGUACUAAUGAACCGUGAGGCUUAACCUUACAACGCCGAAGAUGUUUUG